rnacentral:rRNA from 1 species
UACGUAGGGUGCAAGCGUUAAUCGGAAUUACUGGGCGUAAAGCGUGCGCAGGCGGCUUUGCAAGUCAGAUGUGAAAUCCCCGGGCUUAACUUGGGAACUGCAUUUGUGACUGCAUGGCUGGAGUGCGGCAGAGGGGGAUGGAAUUCCGCGUGUAGCAGUGAAAUGCGUAGAUAUGCGGAGGAACACCGAUGGCGAAGGCAAUCCCCUGGGCCUGCACUGACGCUCAUGCACGAAAGCGUGGGGAGCAAACAGG